GGCUCGGACAGAGGCGGGGACAGCAGGGCUCCGGGCAAGGCGGUCUGGAUGCUGAGGGCGGUCCCUGAGGGGCGGGCGGGGCCCGACCGGCGCUCUGUGUGGCCGAGGCGAUGAAGCCUCAGCCGCCCGGCUAGGCCGUGGGCGGCUCUAGCCCAGGGCGGCCCGCGGGGCGCUGGGCCUGGCUCCCGGCUCCGGUUUCCGGGCCGGCGGGUGGCCGCUCACCAUGCCCGGCAAGCACCAGCAUUUCCAGGAACCCGAGGUCGGCUGCUGCGGGAAAUACUUCCUGUUUGGCUUCAACAUUGUCUUCUGGGUACUGGGAGCCCUGUUCCUGGCUAUCGGCCUCUGGGCCUGGGGUGAGAAGGGUGUACUCUCCAACAUCUCAGCGCUGACAGAUCUGGGAGGCCUUGACCCCGUGUGGCUGUUUGUGGUAGUUGGCGGCGUCAUGUCGGUGCUGGGCUUUGCUGGGUGCAUCGGGGCCCUCCGGGAGAACACCUUCCUGCUCAAGUUUUUCUCCGUGUUCCUCGGCCUCAUCUUCUUCCUGGAGCUGGCAACAGGGAUCCUGGCCUUUGUCUUCAAGGACUGGAUUCGAGACCAGCUCAACCUCUUCAUCAACAACAACGUCAAGGCCUACCGGGACGACAUUGACCUCCAGAACCUCAUUGACUUUGCUCAGGAAUACUGGUCUUGCUGCGGAGCCCGAGGCCCCAACGACUGGAACCUCAAUAUCUACUUCAACUGCACUGACUUGAACCCCAGCCGGGAGCGCUGCGGGGUGCCCUUCUCCUGCUGCGUCAGGGACCCUGCGGAGGAUGUCCUCAAUACCCAGUGUGGCUAUGACGUCCGGCUCAAACUGGAACUGGAGCAGCAGGGCUUCAUCCACACCAAAGGCUGCGUGGGCCAGUUUGAGAAGUGGCUGCAGGACAACCUGAUUGUGGUGGCGGGAGUCUUCGUGGGCAUCGCCCUCCUCCAGAUCUUUGGCAUCUGCCUGGCCCAGAACCUCGUGAGUGACAUCAAGGCAGUGAAAGCCAACUGGUGAGGCCGCCACAGGCCAUGGCCACAUGCCCGGCCUACCCAGGCCUCUGGGGGGCCCCCCAGGACCCUCCUCCUAUACUCGUGAUGGGCAAGGCUGCAGGAGGCGUUCCUGCUGGGACUGAGCCCUGAGGGGUUUGCCUGAGCUGCUGUGCUGUCCACCCACGGAGAAAGCUGCCGUGCCUCUGCCUGGGCCGCUUGUCCUGUGAGCAAAUGGAAUGAUGACUUUGAAAACCACUGGCUUACACCCACCGUUUCCGAGGUCCUGUCCACGGCGGGGCCUCAGCAGAACUCUGUGAUUGGGGCCCCUGGCCUGGCCCCACCCAGCCGACAUGCUUUCUUUGGCCUGGGUGGUUUAUACCCUGAGCCAACCUUUAAAAAUUGGUAGAUUUCACAUAAGCGUCCAGACCCACAGCUUCUCUUGAAGAAUGACCACCUGACUACGCCGGCUCUUCAGUGGCAGCACUACCUGGGACACUGCCUCCCCAGUCACCGAGGGCCCAGCUGGCCCGUGCUACUCACCUAAGUGCCGCCUGACGCUUGUACACUAGGAGCUGGCCUCUCCUGCCGCUGCAGGUUAUUCCCUGCACCUCGAGGCCGCUGCGGGCCAACCUGGAGUGCAGCACAGGGACCUGAAGGGUGGGGAGGCUGGACCCCACUCUGAAGAGGGUGCAGCCUGGGAAGGGCGGCUUUGCUGGGGACUGCGGUGCGAGUAGAGUGCCCAGGAGAGGGUCUGAGGGGUGGGUUGGGGUCAGGACAAUUUUGCAAAAGAAGCAGCUGGAAGCCAUGGGACUGGGGGGAGCCUGUUUGGGGGCUCUGGAUGGUUGAUUCCUAGGAAUCAAGUUCAGCAUCUUCGCCGUGGCUGCAGAGCUGCCUGAUGGGCACUAGAGGGCGCGCCAGCCCCACACUCCCUGGGUCUGGCUUCCUCCUGCAACCUCACUGUGGUAGAGCCUGUGCCUGCCUACUAGCGCCCCGGGCUUCCGAGAGUUUGGGAAUUUCUCAAGAGCCAACUGGCUCAGGCUUGGGAAGGCUGACUGCUGCCCUCAGCUCCGCCUCAUCAGCUAUGUGAAGGGGUAUGUGUGGAGUGAUCCUGCCGCCCCCUGCCUGGGCUCAUCCAGAUAUCUCAAAGUCAGAUGCCCCUGGGUCCACGUAGGUGGUAUAAACGGAUGAAACAGGCCCUUGAGUUGGGAGCCUGCUUCACUGUGACUUUACGUCUGUUGCUGGAGACAAAGACAUCGUGAUGAGAGAAAGUUCUCACAAGCUAGUCGGUAACAGCCACUUACCUUGAGACCAACAGAGUGUGGUGGGGAUGGGGGCAGAGCACGGGUCCCCAUCUGACAGUGGCCGCUGCCAUAUUCAGAUGUAGCUAAUUGCUGUGGUGUGGGAAUACAGGCCUAAUGCCAGAAAUCUGGAGAAGCCAGAGAUACAGAUUUGUAUGCAAGAUGUCCUGAUUUUUUAAGUUGUUGGCAGAAACGAAUUCAGAAAUCAAAUCUGCAGGCCAAACAAGGUGCAGGGCCCAGUUUUGGCCCCAUGCCCCUGUAGGUCCCUCCAGGACAGUCACCCCUGGGGCCCUGGCUGCUCUGCUAUUCAGGGAUGCUGGGCACUGCUGCUGGGUGGCCAGGGUGUGGGGCAUGCGCCCAGCAAUGUGGCUCCUUGGCCCCGCUGGACAGUGUCCUGGGCCCCUGACAGGCGCUGGCUGGGAGUGGUUUAUACAUAUACAAUAAAUGCAGCUCGCAGCAUUGUGCA